CGAGGGGCAGCACAGGGUAGCAAUACUUGGGUGGCGACCGGCGCACGGGUGAGUAACGCGUAUGCAACUUACCUAUCAGAGGGGGAUAGCCCGGCGAAAGUCGGAUUAAUACCCCAUAAAACAGGGGUCCCGCAUGGGAAUAUUUGUUAAAGAUUCAUCGCUGAUAGAUAGGCAUGCGUUCCAUUAGGCAGUUGGCGGGGUAACGGCCCACCAAACCGACGAUGGAUAGGGGUUCUGAGAGGAAGGUCCCCCACAUUGGUACUGAGACACGGACCAAACUCCUACGGGAGGCAGCAGUGAGGAAUAUUGGUCAAUGGCCGAGAGGCUGAACCAGCCAAGUCGCGUGAAGGAAGAAGGAUCUAUGGUUUGUAAACUUCUUUUAUAGGGGAAUAAAGUGGAGGACGUGUCCUUUUUUGUAUGUACCCUAUGAAUAAGCAUCGGCUAACUCCGUGCCAGCAGCCGCGGUAAUACGGAGGAUGCGAGCGUUAUCCGGAUUUAUUGGGUUUAAAGGGUGCGUAGGUGGUGAUUUAAGUCAGCGGUGAAAGUUUGUGGCUCAACCAUAAAAUUGCCGUUGAAACUGGGUUACUUGAGUGUGUUUGAGGUAGGCGGAAUGCGUGGUGUAGCGGUGAAAUGCAUAGAUAUCACGCAGAACUCCGAUUGCGAAGGCAGCUUACUGAACCAUAACUGACACUGAAGCACG
rnacentral:rRNA from 1 species